GGUUGAAGCUUUAGCAUUUAGGAUGCCUCUUUCUGAUCUUGUCUGAUCUCAGAAGCUAAACAGAGUCAGGUCUGGUUGGUGCUUGGAUGGGAAACGACCUGGGAAUAGCAGGUGCCUAAAUUG
rnacentral:rRNA from 1 species